UUGCUUUAUUUUGUUUAAUUCAUAUUAUUUUCAUUUUUAAUCCAAAAAAUAUGGGACUUUCACCAAAAAUAUUUAAAUAUUUUUCUCUUUCAUUUACUGAAUUAAAAUUAUUUUUUGGAUUAAUUUUGAUAUUUUUCAUAAAUCAAAUGCUUUUGUGCAUAUUUUUAAUUGUUUAAAAAUACUUCUGACUUUUCAAAAUCAUGAAUUUUUUUGCCUAAGGCCCUUUGACCUUGUUUGACCUAGGAUAAAUCUCUUGACC
rnacentral:lncRNA from 1 species